CUGUAUUCAAGUACAUCUAAACUUCCUGUAAUUUUGCAGUUUUAUGGAGCCUGUGUUUUAUAUAAAAGUGUAUUUCCCAAGCUGCUGAGUACAGUGAUUAUUCUUGCCUUCAGUAAGAAAUUCUGCAGAUAACAGAAAUAAUUGGAAUUGAGCAGCUGCUAGCUUUCCCAUUUUUUUAAACAAUUAUGAAUGGUUUCAUUUUGUGUAUUAUUUACUGCUCUUACAUCCUCUCUUCUUGCAGCCCAGAGCCAAAGACUUUCUGUUAUAAGCCUGUAGAGAUUAAGAAUAUAAUUAAGAAGCAGCAGAACUGUGGUUGGCACAAUCUCGAGCAAAGAUAGUUGAAAAAAACACCAUUGAGCAGGAAAGACAACUUAAAGCAGCAACCAUCCCCCAAAAUGCAGUUCUAAAGUGGGGAAAAAAAUGAAACCUGGAGAAAAACAUUUGAUACCUAUAAAAGGCUUUCCAACCCUCAGGGGAAACUCAGCAACAGAAGCAAACAAAUACAGCCAAUAUAUAACAAGGAAGAUAAACGUAGGUUUUUCCAGAUGCCUCUAGCAACUAUAGAAUUGUCUUUGGCUUCAUUGCUAUUUACCUUGGGUGAGUCAGAAUGUUUGCUUUCUACCAGGUAGAGCUUUCCAAUGGUGGUUUUGUUCAUGUGACCCCUGGAGCCUGAAAGGCCAGUUCUUUCCAUUCCCUUCUUCCAAUUUCUUCAGCACCUCUGUGAAGAUGUCCCAAGCUCUUCCCAGGUAGAAAUAUCUGUCCUAUCCUCAUGUCUGUAAUAGAACAAAAAAAUUCACUCUCAAAAUUGCUUAUUUUAUCUCUCCAGCUUUAUAAGAGCUUCUUUUGGAUAGGGACCUUCUUCAUGUCUGCACUGCCAGUUCCUUGUCCAAUGUUCCUGUCACAUAGUAGAUGCUCUAUAAAUGUUGUGUGGCCUCUCAGCCUUUGGAUGGGAAGACCUUUUUUAACAAGAGAAAACUGUGUGAUUCAGUGCCACCUGACAACCCCUGUGCCAGAUGUGAAGCCCAUUGCCCUCACAUUAUGAAAGAAAGAAAGAAAGAAGAAAGAAAGAAAGAAAGAAAGAAAGAAAGAAAGAAAGAGAAAGAAAGAAGAAAGAAAGAAAGAAAGAAAGAAAGAAAGAAAGAAAGAAAGAAAGAAAGAAAGAAAGAAGAAAGAAAGAAAGAAAGAGAAAGAAAGAAAGAAAGAGAAAGAAAGAAAGAAAGAAAGAAAGAAAGAAAGAAAGAAAGAAAGAAAGAAAGAAAGAAAAAGAAAGAUCAACUGUGAAUAUUUUUGGUAAUGAUUUAUCCGUAUGUGUUAUAAUUACUUCUCUCUUACAUCAUUUAGGAAUUCUAAAGGUCAAAUUGCUAGUUGAGUGUCUGCCUUCCUGAAGGAGGAUAUGUUAGGAGCUAUUGUAUACAUUUACAGAAAAAUACAGGAAAGGAAUUUUAUGAAAUCAAUAGCUGAACUUUUUGAAAACCCUAAUGAGGGACUAAUGAAAUUUCCAGGCCUCUCCUCACUCAAAAGAAACAAGAGAAGUGUCACUUUGACAUCAAAAACUAGCCUCUACAUCCUUGAAGUAGUUUCCUUUUAAAAGAACACAAAGCAGGAAAUGGAGGGGAGACUGGGGAAACGGAUAACAAAAUUUCUGCAGCAGCAUGUGAUCCAUUUUAACCCUUUCAGGUGUAGAUGAUGCCAACAUGUCAUAGCAUGUUAUCUCUUAAAUACUAAAAAUUCCAUAGUGUACUUUUCUAAUUUUACUUUAAAGAAUUCUCUCAUAGUAUAUAUUUUCUUUCUUUCUUUUUUUUUUUUUUUAAGAUUUUACUUAUUUAUUUGAGACAGAGAGAGAGAGCAUGAGCAGGGGAGGGGCAGAGGGAGAAGCAGACUCCCCGCUGAGCAGGAAGCCUGACCAGAGCUCAUCUCAGGACUCUGAGAUCCUGAGCUGAGCUGAAGGCAGCCGCUUAACCUACUGAGCCACCCAGGUGCCCCAGUAUACAUUUUCUUUCCCAAAUCAGCAAUUCCUUUUCCUAACAGAAAACACAUUUACUUCUGUGCUCAGGUCUAUGUAUCAAAGAAAGCUUUCUUCAUGCAUCUAACCAAAUGAUAUAAAAGAUCCAGCACAAAGUGGGUAGCUAAUGAGAAAGGCUCUUGUGUACAAGGAUCUUUUUAGUACUCUAAUUUUCUUUUAGCAGCACAGAAUCUGGUACACAGGACUGAGCUUUCAUACUUUACACAUAAUGGGCACAAAUUAGAAUAGUGUCUCCUUUUGUGUGAUUGUCUUGGCAUUAUGAGAUGGUGCUUAGACAGGCAUGUGAACUUGACAAGAGACCGUUUCAUUAAAGAGCCUUAUACACUAAGUGUUCCACCUCUCUUUGCAAAACAUAUAUGGGUGUGGAUAGGAGCUUUCCUACACCCUAAAUAGAUUUCUCCUUCCUUAUGUUUCAGCAAUGCUGACUGAACAAUUUGUUUAUGGCAGCAUUUCUCUAACAUAAUGAUCUCAGAACCUGUUUAUACUCUUAAGAAUUAUUGAGGACUCCCAAUGACUUUUUGUUAAUGUGGUUUAUAUCUGUCGAUAUUUAACAGGUCAUAAAUUUAAAGAGAGAGAUUAGGGGCAUGUGGGUGGCUCAGUCUGUUAAGCAUCUGCCUUUGGCUCAGGGCAUGAUCCCAGAGUCCUGGGAUCAAGCCCUUAUCAGGCUCCCUGCUCAGCAGGGGAGUCUGCUUCUCCCUCUCCUUUUGCCCCUGCUCAUGUGGGCUCUCUUUUUCUCACUCUGUCUCUCAAAUAAAAAAAUAAAAUCUUAAAAAAAUAGAUAUUAA
rnacentral:lncRNA from 12 species